rnacentral:rRNA from 1 species
UACAGAGGUCCCAAGCGUUGUUCGGAUUCACUGGGCGUAAAGGGUGCGUAGGCGGUUGGGUAAGUCUGAUGUGAAAUCUCACAGCUUAACUGUGAAACUGCAUUGGAUACUAUCCAGCUCGAGGAAUGGAGGGGAGACUGGAAUACUUGGUGUAGCAGUGAAAUGCGUAGAUAUCAAGUGGAACACCAGUGGCGAAGGCGAGUCUCUGGACAUUUCCUGACGCUGAGGCACGAAAGCCAGGGGAGCAAACGGG